rnacentral:snoRNA from 1 species
UCAGACUUCAUAGAAUCUCUUCUAUAGUAAUCGUCUUCUUCUGAGUCUCUCACAAGAGCCACAGAAUCUCCAACCUGACUGAUGAGUUGAAUCCUCGGUGUCCCGGAGUGAGGCCUUUUGCGUUUGCUUCGGCGAAUGCGGCGAUGAUCUUCAGUCAAACGGGCUCGUACUUCGGUCGGUCUGCGCGACAGGACACUGAGUGAAAUCUGACAGGC